rnacentral:rRNA from 1 species
UACGAAGGGGCUAGCGUUGUUCGGAAUCACUGGGCGUAAAGCGCACGCAGGCGGAUUGAUAAGUCAGGGGUGAAAUCCCCAAGCUUAACUUGGGAACUGCAUCCGAUACUGGAUGGCUUGAAUCCGGGAGAGGGAUGCAGAAUUCCAGGUGUAGCGGUGAAAUGCGUAGAUAUCUGGAGGAAUACCGGUGGCGAAGGCGGCAUCCUGGACCGGCAUUGACGCUGAGGAGCGAAAGCUAGGGGAGCAAAGCGGGG